rnacentral:tRNA from 1 species
GUGGCUCAGUGGGUAAGAGCACUUGCUGUUCAAGCAAGAGGAUCUGAGUUCAAACCCCAGC